CACGUAGGGUGCGAGCGUUGUCCGGAAUUAUUGGGCGUAAAGAGCUCGUAGGCGGUCCGUCACGUCGGAUGUGAAAUUCCAGGGCUCAACCCUGGACCUGCAUUCGAUACGGGCGGACUAGAGUUCGGGUAGGGGAGACUGGAAUUCCUGGUGUAGCGGUGAAAUGCGCAGAUAUCAGGAGGAACACCGGUGGCGAAGGCGGGUCUCUGGGCCGAUACUGACGCUGAGGAGCGAAAGCGUGGGGAGCGAACAGG
rnacentral:rRNA from 1 species